UACGUAGGGUGCAAGCGUUGUCCGGAACUAUUGGGCGUAAAGAGCUUGUAGGCGGUUUGUCGCGUCUGCUGUGAAAUUUCGGGGCUCAACCCCGAACUUGCAGUGGGUACGGGCAGACUAGAGUGUGGUAGGGGUAACUGGAAUUCCCGGUGUAGCGGUGAAAUGCGUAGAUAUCGGGAGGAAUACCUAUGGCGAAGGCAGGUUACUGGGCCAUCACUGACGCUGAGCUGCGAAAGCUAGGGGAGCAAACAGG
rnacentral:rRNA from 1 species